CGAAAGCGUGGGGAGCAAAUAGGAUUAGAUACCCUAGUAGUCCACGCCGUAAACGAUGAGUACUAAGUGUUGGGAGUCAAAUCUCAGUGCUGCAGUUAACGCAAUAAGUACUCCGCCUGAGUAGUACGUUCGCAAGAAUGAAACUCAAAGGAAUUGACGGGGGCCCGCACAAGCGGUGGAGCAUGUGGUUUAAUUCGAUGCAACGCGAAGAACCUUACCUGGUCUUGACAUCCACAGAACUUAGCAGAGAUGCUUUGGUGCCUUCGGGAACUGUGAGACAGGUGCUGCAUGGCUGUCGUCAGCUCGUGUUGUGAAAUGUUGGGUUAAGUCCCGCAACGAGCGCAACCCUUAUCCUUUGUUGCCAGCGGUUAGGCCGGGAACUCAAAGGAGACUGCCAGUGAUAAACUGGAGGAAGGUGGGGAUGACGUCAAGUCAUCAUGGCCCUUACGACCAGGGCUACACACGUGCUACAAUGGCAUAUACAAAGAGAAGCGACCUCGCGAGAGCAAGCGGACCUCAUAAAGUAUGUCGUAGUCCGGAUUGGAGUCUGCAACUCGACUCCAUGAAGUCGGAAUCGCUAGUAAUCGUAGAUCAGAAUGCUACGGUGAAUACGUUCCCGGGCCUUGUACACACCGCCCGUCACACCAUGGGAGUGGGUUGCAAAAGAAGUAGGUAGCUUAACCUUCGGGAGGGCGCUUACCACUUUGUGAUUCAUGACUGGGGUGAAGUCGUAACAAGGUAACCGUAGGGGAACCUGCGGUUG
rnacentral:rRNA from 1 species